GACGAACGCUGGCGGCGUGCUUAACACAUGCGAGUCGAACGAAGAGCGACGGAAGCUUGCUUCUAUCAAUCUUAGUGGCGAACGGGUGAGUAACGCGUAAUCAACCUGCCCUUCAGAGGGGGACAACAGUUGGAAACGACUGCUAAUACCGCAUACGAUCUAAUCUCGGCAUCGAGGAUGGAUGAAAGGUGGCCUCUACAUGUAAGCUAUCACUGAAGGAGGGGAUUGCGUCUGAUUAGCUAGUUGGAGGGGUAACGGCCCACCAAGGCGAUGAUCAGUAGCCGGUCUGAGAGGAUGAACGGCCACAUUGGGACUGAGACACGGCCCAGACUCCUACGGGAGGCAGCAGUGGGGAAUCUUCCGCAAUGGACGAAAGUCUGACGGAGCAACGCCGCGUGAGUGAUGACGGCCUUCGGGUUGUAAAGCUCUGUUAAUCGGGACGAAAGGCCUUCUUGCGAAUAGUGAGAAGGAUUGACGGUACCGGAAUAGAAAGCCACGGCUAACUACGUG
rnacentral:rRNA from 1 species